rnacentral:rRNA from 1 species
AUUGAACGCUGGCGGCGUGCUUAACACAUGCAAGUCGAUCGGUAACGCGGGGGCAACCCUGCCGACGAGAGGCGGACGGGUGAGGAACACUUGGGAAUCUGCCUAUCAGCGGGGGACAACACGGGGAAACUCGUGCUAAUACCGCAUACGCUCUACGGGGGAAAGCCGGGGACCGCAAGGCCUGGCACUGAUAGAUGAGCCCAAGCCGGAUUAGCUAGUUGGCGGGGUAACGGCCCACCAAGGCGACGAUCAGUAGCUGGUCUGAGAGGACGAUCAGCCACACUGGAACUGAGAAGCGGUCGAGACUCCUACGGGAGGCAGCAGUGGGGAAUAUUGGGCAAUGGGGGAAACCCUGAUCCAGCGACGCCGCGUGGGUGAAGAAGGCCUGCGGGUUGUAAAGCCCUUUCGGUAGGGACGAAAGCUCUCGACCUAACACGUCGGGAGGUUGACUUAACCUACAGAAGAAGCACCGGCUAACUCUGUGCCAGCCGCCGCCGUAACAC